ACAAGCUGCAGCUGACAUCUUCGGAUUUGGAAAAUAAGUUGAACAAAUACGAAUCAGCAUAUCCGGAGAUGGUAUAGAAGAGCCACAAAUAGAGGAGGGCCUAUCUAGUGGGAAACCCCAGUUGCCACAACCAAUUUUACCACAGCAAGGAGACAAUGGUGAUGACAAGAAAGACCACAGAGGCACAGAGCACAGCAAUCAAAAUAACAAGACUGAGGGACAGGCUGGUCCUGUGGGCACCUAGAUCAACAAAGCACAGAGUCAUCCAUCAAGUUGGCAAUAACUCCAAGUGACUGUGAUGGUUCAGUCAAUUUGCUUUCUCCUGGCUGGAGUUCCCAGGUAUGGAUCUUCCUGGGACACUGUGGCCCAUGUACCAUACUUACUCAAAUAUAAGACAACUCCAAAUAUAAGAUGACCCCCUCAAUAAUUAAAUUCUAGAUAUGGAAAAAUGUAUAAAUGUGUUAUAAUUGUCCAGGAAUAGAAUCUAAUAAUUGGAGGUUUGCCUUGAAUUUGUUCUCUUUCCACUGCUACAGCAGAAAAAAAAAAUCAAUCGGGGAGGAGGGGGUUCAGGUGGUCCUAUUGCCCUCUGCCACCCCCAACUUCUUCUACCUGAAGCCCCUUCCCUGCCCCCUACUGUCAGUACUGUCAGAGCCUGCUCCCUCUGAGCACAUGGAAAUGAGGAGCAGAUUUGAAGUCAUAUGCAGAUGAACUGAUGCAUUUUAUCUUUUUUUUAAACUGAUGCAAGUUAAAAAACCCAGGCACGCCACAAACAUACCUUUAAGAAGCACUUUUGCACCUCCUUAUACAGAGUACAGACUAUGCAUCAUACUAAUCCAAACCAAAGUCUCAUGAUUUAGUUCAUUAAGCUGGGCCUCAGCAAAAACAACAGCAUUUCAAGCCAUGGUGACCCCAUAGCGCAGAAGUGCUCAGUAUGUGUGUGCAUUCCAGAUAUGCCUCCAACAAUGGAUUCAAUUAGCCCCUCACUCAGGACUGGAACAAUGUGUUCUUGUCAUGAGUUUUGGGAUUCCCCAAAAAUGCAUAUACAGAUGAUGUGCGGGGCAAUCUGGUCCAGCUUCACCUCAGGGAAGGUGUGGCCAUUCAAAUCAUAUACGACAGACAGAGAGGGGUUGACAGUGGGAUUCUGGGUGAAUUGUUUUGGGCCCCGUUUCAUGAUGUUUGUUGGACAUUUGAGGCUGAUAAAGGAAGAAUAAGAAUUAGAAAUGGGAAAAAGGCACAGCUCAGCUGUGGGAGUGAAGAGGAGGUUGAAAUGAAGAGGAAGUUGAAAUGCAUUCAAUGUAGUGGCUCACCAUGACUUGAAAAAGAGUCAGUGCUGAGGGGGGCUAAGCAUAAUGGGUACUACUGUAUGUUGCAUUCAUAUGAGCUUCACUAACCUGUAAUCAAUAAGUUCCCACAGGUAUGGGCCCAACACAAAGUGGAAUGCAGGAAAAUUGAAGUCCAGGUGUUAAUUGCCAAACCUGAUCCCUCAUCCCCAAAUCAUACAAAUAUCCAACCAAGGCUGAAAGCAGCCUACAGGAAACUGUAAAUGCUUUGCUACAACAGGGGGUGGGGGUAGAACCGCAGAGUACCAACAAUGCCUUCAUUGGGCCUGUAAGGAAAUGCCCUCAUUGGGUCUAUAAGGAAAGUAGAUGGGAAAACCUGGAGGCAGAGAAGAUGCUAUGAGGUGGUUUUCAGCAUACGCUGUUUUAUUUACCUGGCAAGGGAGAUACUAUUUUUCUUGGCCUUGAAUGAUGUGGUGUAGUUAGAAGGUGAAGGCUUGUCCCAUGCACUGUGGGAAGGCUAACCCCUGCGAGAGUCUACAAAUGCCUCUAAAUGCAAGGAUCUUGGCUACACAAUUUAUGGUGAUGGGGAAUCACUCUGAGGCUUUCCAUCUAGCUUGCCCCUUCAGCCUUUUGGCUGGGGGCAAGUGAGAUUAGUGGACAUCUGAACUCCAAGGCCUCCUGGCCUGGGGUUUGCAUAUAGGAUGCUUGCCAUGGAUUUGAGAGUACCUGAAGUCCCAGGCUGAAGAGUUUGGGUGGUAGGAUACUUGCCAGUGGUAGUGCCACACAGACUUGAAUGACUGAGCUCUGCUCAAUCAAUAGAAUGCAGAACUGAUUUGGCUGGUUUGACCUUAGACACAAAAUUUCAACCCCCCCACCCCCCAAAAAAAUGACAGGUUCCCAUCAGCGUCUCGGUCAUUUAGCUAAGAUCAAAUUGUAGCACAUUUCCCCUACCUGCUCCUUAGCCUUUUGGCUAGAAGCAAGCAAGAGUAGGCAGCAUGUGAACUCCAAGGCUUACAGGCCCAGGGCUUACACAUAGGAUGUCAUCCAAAAUAUAGGUGCCCAUCAGUGUGUUUUUCCAAUGUGGGUCAUGUUCUAUAGUCAUGCUUAGCAUGGGCUGCAUUUAUUCAGCUUCAUAGUUGGUUCCAUUGCUGAGCAUGUGCUGCUUUUGGCAGCAGUUUAACGAUGGACAAUUAUUUGAUGAUGUUUCCUUGAACGCAAUUGUAAGACAAGGAGCCUUUCGCCCUACGCUGACUGAGGGAAAAAAAAACCUUUUCUUAUAUUUGAGUCAAUAUGGUAGUUCAUGGGCAU